AAAGACUCCAUUCUGAUGUUUUCUACCACCAAACAAGGGAGACAAAAGCUGCUGCUCUUAAUUCGCAGGAACAGUGAGCCACAGACGGCUAAUCACGUCCGGAACCAAAGGCACCUGCCCUAUCUGCCUCUACAUUUGGAUUGCUGUUAUACUUUGUAUAAGAAGGUGCUAAUAACUUGGAGGCUUUUAGACUGGGUGAUCUAAUCCCUUUGUACGAUAAAGACUCGCCACGCCGAGAGUGGUUGCCAGAUCGUGGACAAGGUGCUUCAGAGG